AGUCGUAACAAGGUUUCCGUAGGUGAACCUGCGGAAGGAUCAUUACAGAAUUUUGAGAAUUGUGCUUAACUGCACUUUUCUUAUCUACACACGUGUUUUUGUUUUAUUCUUAAAACUUGCUUUGGCAGUGGCUGCUUAAUUGCUCUGCUGCCAGAGGAUAAACUCAACCUAAAUUUUUUAUUUUAAACUAGUCAACUGAUUAUAUUUAUUAAUAGUCAAAACUUUCAACAACGGAUCUCUUGGUUCUCGCAUCGAUGAAGAACGCAGCGAAAUGCGAUAAGUAAUAUGAAUUGCAGAUAUUCGUGAAUCAUCGAAUCUUUGAACGCACAUUGCGCCCUCUGGUAUUCCGGAGGGCAUGCCUGUUUGAGCGUCAUUUCUCCCUCAAACCCCCGGGUUUGGUGAUGAGCAAUACGCCAGGUUUGCUUGAAAGUUAGGAGGAGUAUUUAUAACAAUGUAUUAGGUCUAACCACUCCAUUGUGCUUAAUAAAAGCUCCAAUCUAUAUUUCAAACUUCGACCUCAAAUCAGGUAGGAUUACCCGCUGAACUUAAGCAUAUCAAU
rnacentral:rRNA from 1 species